rnacentral:rRNA from 1 species
GACGAACGUUGGCGGCGUGCUUAAUACAUGCAAGCCCACUGAAGCAGUGGUAGCAAUAUCGCUGUGGAGGUGGCGCACGGGUGAGUAACACGUAGGUAAUCUGCCUUCAGGUCUGGCAUAACUCCGGGAAACCGGGGCUAAUAGCAGAUGAUGCAGCGGCUCGACAUCGAGACAGUUGUUAAAGCUAUGGCGCCUGAAGAUGAGCCUGCGUCUGAUUAGCUAGUUGGCGGGGUAACGGCCCACCAAGGCAACGAUCAGUAGCUGGUCUGAGAGGAUGAUCAGCCACACUGGAACUGAGACACGGGCCAGACUCCUACGGGAGGCAGCAGUAAGGAAUAUUGCUCAAUGGGAGAAAUCCUGAAGCAGCAACGCCGCGUGAGGGACGAAGGGCUUUUGCUUGUAAACCUCUGUAGUGAGAGAAAAAAAUCCCAAUCUUUGGGACAUGAUGGUAUCUCAAAAGUAAGCCCCGGCUAACUACGUG